rnacentral:lncRNA from 1 species
GUUCAGUCUAUUAAAUCAGUUGGCAAAAAGAACCGAACGAAUUAUUUAUGGGCCGCAGUUAGGCCGUGAUAAAAUAUGAUAAAUGCUCAGAAAUCUGCCAAGAUCUGAGGUACCCAAAUGCACCAGUGUCUCUCCUCGAAGAUGCUCAGCCCUCUGCUGUCUGCCACAUGCAUAAUUUAGGACAAAUUGACUAUAAAUCAAAGUGCUGUGCUUGUACCUUGAACAAAUACCGCCGAAACGAGCACCAACAUAGAGUGCACACGCUUCUAUCUGGACACAGGUGCCACAACAACAGCACAUCC